rnacentral:sRNA from 1 species
GAAGAAAGCAAGCUUGACAACUUUGAAGAUCCUGUGGUGUGAAGGGUGAGCUUUUGGAUCGAUGGACAAGCUAACUGAUCCUGAUGAUGCUGUCCCAGGAUCUACACUUUGCAAACCACUAAGAAGGCAAUACCCAUCUUCAGUUCCCAGGAUAUAUCUUUCAAGUCUUCACUGAAAUUCAGACAUAAUUUAACAUGGAAGAAUAUGAUUUCUAGGCAAUAAGGACACAUUAAUAAAUAGUUGUAAAGUGUGUAUACAUCUCAGGGUAAAUUAAGGAACAUAGAUCACAGAAAGUUCCCAGUGCU